UUUAAGACAUUAACUAACAAAUACCUCUUUUUAUUUUAGCAUUUUUGAGUGCUCCCGUGGCGUUAUCAAAGAGCCGGCAUACAAAACAAUAGGUAGGCCUGAUAAACAACAACAACAAGGAUUAACUCCGAACGUUACAAUAUCUAAAAUAGGACCAGAGGGAAUGAGAUACCAACAUUAGCCGGAUUUCUGUUGCUUUACGAAGUAUAAUCCAUAGUGGUAUUGGAUUUUCGCCAUUUUGUGUUCUAUUUCGUGAUCAAGUGAUGACGCAUGGACAGUCAUUUGAGUUACUGCAAAGACUAAAUAGUCUAGAUGUGGGAGAAAGGAUCGAUCGGGACGAUCGAUUACAGAUAAUCAGGGAAAAGAUUACAAAACUGGUGAGGAAAUCUAUAGACGAAAUUUCGCUUUGAGUAAUAAGGCGAACAAGUUCAAUGCCAAAUUAGCACCGUAAUUCAUCAAAUGCAGGGUUAUAGAGAAGAUGGGAAAUUGUUAUAAUAAAGUGGUCGAUGAUAAAAGUAAAACCCAGGAUGACCUGUCAUGGGAAAGAUUUGCGACUGACGUCCUAAUGAACCAUGCCGUUUCCAGACAUUUUUAGUUCAUCAAAUUGGAUCAAAUAGCCAAAAAAAGAGAACAUUAUUUGAAAUCUUUAAUAAAACAAUUAUUUUUUUUUGUAGCAGAAUUGUAUAUUUCCAAUGUAACAAAUAAUUAAAAUUGUCUGUGUUGUGGCGGUAUCGUCUGCAAUUCAAUAUA